rnacentral:rRNA from 1 species
GAUGAACGCUGGCGGCGUGCCUAAUACAUGCAAGUCGAGCGAACAGAUGAGGAGCUUGCUCCUCUGACGUUAGCGGCGGACGGGUGAGUAACACGUGGAUAACCUACCUAUAAGACUGGGAUAACUUCGGGAAACCGGAGCUAAUACCGGAUAAUAUAUUGAACCGCAUGGUUCAAUAGUGAAAGACGGUUUUGCUGUCACUUAUAGAUGGAUCCGCGCCGCAUUAGCUAGUUGGUAAGGUAACGGCUUACCAAGGCAACGAUGCGUAGCCGACCUGAGAGGGUGAUCGGCCACACUGGAACUGAGACACGGUCCAGACUCCUACGGGAGGCAGCAGUAGGGAAUCUUCCGCAAUGGGCGAAAGCCUGACGGAGCAACGCCGCGUGAGUGAUGAAGGUCUUCGGAUCGUAAAACUCUGUUAUUAGGGAAGAACAAAUGUGUAAGUAACUAUGCAGGUCUUGACGGUACCUAAUCAGAAAGCCACGGCUAACUACGUG